GGGGCUAUAGCUCAUUUGGUAGAGCGCUUGCAUGGCAUGCAAGAGGUGGGCGGUUCGAUCCCGCCUAGCUCCA
rnacentral:tRNA from 1 species